rnacentral:rRNA from 1 species
AGAGGGUGCGAGCGUUAAUCGGAAUUACUGGGCGUAAAGCGUGCGUAGACGGUUACGUAAGUCGGGUGUGAAAGCCCCGGGCUCAACCUGGGAAUUGCAUUCGAGACUGCGAAGCUAGGGUGCGGAAGAGGGAAGCGGAAUUUCCGGUGUAGCGGUGAAAUGCGUAGAUAUCGGAAGGAACAUCAGUGGCGAAAGCGGCUUCCUGGUCCAGCACCGACGUUCAGGCACGAAAGCGUGGGGAGCAAACAGGAUUAGAUACCCUGGUAGUCCACGCCAUAAACGAUGACAACUAGACGUUGAGAGGGUAAGCCUCCCAGUGUCGAAGCUAACGCGAUAAGUUGUCCGCCUGGGGAGUACGGCCGCAAAGUNG